ACGUGAUCUGAGUUCAGACCGGAGUAAUCCAGGUCAGUUUCUAUCUAUACAGGGCUUCUUCUAGUACGAAAGGAUUGAAAAAGCAUGGCCAAUGCCUCAGUAAGCCAUACAACCAACUUAUGCUUCAAACUCAAUAAGUAAAAGACCUAUCUUCCCCCACCCUCCGAAAAGGGGCA
rnacentral:rRNA from 1 species